GUUAUAGGAUCAAGCGACUAAGUGUAUGUGGUGGAUGCCUUGGCGAUCACAGGCGAUGAAGGACGCGGCAGCCUGCGAAAAGCCGUGGGGAGUUGGCAAGCAAACUUUGAUCCACGGAUGUCCGAAUGAGGGAACUCACUCGAGCAAUCGAGUAUCCGCAUCUGAAUACAUAGGAUGCGGAGGCGAACGCGGAGAACUGAAACAUCUAAGUACCCGCAGGAAAAGAAAUCAACCGAGAUUCUGAAAGUAGCGGCGAGCGAAAUUGGAAGAGCCUGCAGUCGAUAGUCGAAGCGAUACCGGAACGGUCUGGAAAGUCCGGCUACAGAGGGUGAUAGCCCCGUACGGGAAAUUGAGUCGACAGUACUAAGGCUGCGAGAAGUAGGGCGGAACACGUGGAAUUCUGUCUGAAGACGGGGGGACCAUCCUCCAAGGCUAAAUACUAGUGAUCGACCGAUAGUGAACCAGUACUGUGAAGGAAAGGCGAAAAGAACCCCGGGAGGGGAGUGAAAUAGAUCCUGAAACCGCAUACAUACAAACAGUAGGAGCCCGCAAGGGUGACUGCGUACCUUUUGCAUAAUGGGUCAGCGACUUACGUUCAAUGGCGAGCUUAACCGAAUAGGGGAGGCGCAGCGAAAGCGAGUCCGAACAGGGCGACAAGAGUCGUUGGGCGUAGACCCGAAACCAGAUGAU
rnacentral:rRNA from 1 species